UCCCUGGUGGCUCAGACAGUAAAGCAUCUGCCUACAAUGCAGCAGACCCAGGUUCGAUCCCUGGGUCGGGAA
rnacentral:tRNA from 1 species